GGUCGGCACUAUAAAUACUACGGGCAAUCGUCUCGCCGACCUUUUCAUACCAUGAGGAUUGUUGUUGAAUGUGCUAAUAUAGUUUAGGAGCAAUUUGUGACGAAUUACUCAGUUCUUGACAGGAUAAAACGUCAAAAGGAUGUGCUGGAGGAGAAAAUGGCAGUUGGUGGAUGGGAGGAGGGAGUUCUCAGUAACCUGAAACUAAUCGAAACCUGUUUUGGCAAGUGCCUUCGAGUAAGGUUUUCAUAGCAUUGGUGGCUGUUGAGCUAUGACAUGGUGGUGCAUUAUAGGAUGUGCAUGUAUUGGGAGAACAGAAUUCCUGAAGAUGUGCAUGUAUUGGGAGAACAGAAUUCCAGAAGUGUCCCAGUGGUGGCUCCAUAAAUCAAGAGCAUGUGCUGUGGCGGUUGCCCUACGAAUAUAAAAUUCUUCAUCCCACCAUCUUUCCUCUUUGUCAUAUGCAGGUUCACUUUGAAGCAGAAGGGGGUGCCAUUUGCUUAUCAAAAUUAGUACUGCAUAUAGAUGGGAGGUGCUAACCAGCUUUCAUACAGACUGGUGCAUUUUCACUUUUUUUUUUUUAUUUAUUUAUUUUUUUUUUAAAGCCUGUCUUCUAUCCUAAAUCCAUUGCUUGCUCACUUUGGUAGGCCUGUGUAUCUAAUGCUGAUGGGCAAGGUACAUUUCUAAAAUCAGCUUUAAUACAGAUUGACUUGGAAAUCGCUUUGCUGGCUGUUCUGGAUUAUAGUAUCCAAAAAUAGAUGGUUUAAAUUUGGCUAUUCUCAGCAGGCUGAAUUGUGGUUGUUUUGGUCAGAUUGCCAUUGCAGUCAGCUUGGUGCUGGAAAAUGCAUGGAUGUUCUGUAUGCUGCAGUCACAAUGAGUAGUAUACUGCUGGGAAUUGGUUUGUUGACUGGGUUGAGUUUCGGGUUGAUUUAUAGCAAUUGAACUUGACGAUAAAAGAGAAAUUCCCUGAAAGUGAUGCAGUACAACCCUGACCCCAAUGCCAUGUCUGAUUUGAGACUGAAGACAUGUUGGAUAGAUGAAGUUUGAAUUGCA